rnacentral:rRNA from 1 species
GAUAUGAACCGUUAUAACCGGCGAUACCCGAAUGGGGAAACCCAGUGUGAUUCGUCACACUAUCAUUAACUGAAUCCAUAGGUUAAUGAGGCGAACCGGGGGAACUGAAACAUCUAAGUACCCCGAGGAAAAGAAAUCAACCGAGAUUCCCCCAGUAGCGGCGAGCGAACGGGGAGGAGCCCAGAGCCUGAAUCAGCAUGUGUGUUAGUGGAAGCGUCUGGAAAGGCGCGCGAUACAGGGUGACAGCCCCGUACACAAAAGCGCAUGUGCUGUGAGCUCGAUGAGUAGGGCGGGACACGUGGUAUCCUGUCUGAAUAUGGGGGGACCAUCCUCCAAGGCUAAAUACUCCUGACUGACCGAUAGUGAACCAGUACCGUGAGGGAAAGGCGAAAAGAACCCCGGCGAGGGGAGUGAAAAAGAACCUGAAACCGUGUACGUACAAGCAGUGGGAGCACCCUUUGGGUGUGACUGCGUACCUUUUGUAUAAUGGGUCAGCGACUUAUAUUCUGUAGCAAGGUUAACCGAAUAGGGGAGCCGGAGGGAAACC